rnacentral:rRNA from 1 species
CACGUAGGGCGCAAGCGUUGUCCGGAAUUAUUGGGCGUAAAGAGCUCGUAGGCGGUCUGUUGCGUCUGCUGUGAAAACCCGGGGCUUAACCCCUGGCUUGCAGUGGAUACGGACAGACUAGAGGUAGGUAGGGGAGAAUGGAAUUCCCGGUGUAGCGGUGAAAUGCGCAGAUAUCGGGAGGAACACCGGUGGCGAAGGCGGCUCCUGGACCGACACUGACGCUGAGGCGCGAAAGCCAGGGGAGCAAACGGG